AGAGUUUGAUCCUGGCUCAGAUUGAACGCUGGCGGCAGGCCUAACACAUGCAAGUCGAGCGAGGUUUUCGGACCUAGCGGCGGACGGGUGAGUAAUGCGUAGGAAGCUGCCCGAUAGAGGGGGAUACCAGUUGGAAACGACUGUUAAUACCGCAUAAUGUCUACGGACCAAAGUGUGGGACCUUCGGGCCACAUGCUAUCGGAUGCGCCUACGUGGGAUUAGCUAGUUGGUGGGGUAAAGGCCUACCAAGGCGACGAUCCAUAGCUGGUCUGAGAGGACGAUCAGCCACACUGGGACUGAGACACGGCCCAGACUCCUACGGGAGGCAGCAGUGGGGAAUAUUGGACAAUGGGCGCAAGCCUGAUCCAGCAAUACCGCGUGUGUGAAGAAGGCCUGAGGGUUGUAAAGCACUUUCAAUAGGGAGGAAAAAGCGUUGGUUAAGAGCUGAUGCCUUGACAUUACCUAUAGAAGAAGCACCGGCUAACUCCGUGCCAGCAGCCGCGGUAAUACGGAGGGUGCGAGCGUUAAUCGGAAUUACUGGGCGUAAAGCGUGCGUAGGCGGCUGUUUAAGUCAGAUGUGAAAGCCCCGGGCUUAACCUGGGAACGGCAUUUGAUACUGGGCAGCUAGAGUUUAGGAGAGGAGAGUGGAAUUUCCGGUGUAGCGGUGAAAUGCGUAGAGAUCGGAAGGAACACCAGUGGCGAAGGCGGCUCUCUGGCCUAAAACUGACGCUGAGGUACGAAAGCGUGGGUAGCAAACAGGAUUAGAUACCCUGAUAGUCCACGCCGUAACGAUGUCAACUAGCCGUUGGGUCUUUAUUAAGACUUAGUGGUGCAGCUAACGCAUUAAGUUGACCGCCUGGGGGAGUACGGCCGCAAGGUUAAAACUCAAAUGAAUUGACGGGGGGCCCGCAC
rnacentral:rRNA from 1 species